rnacentral:rRNA from 1 species
GACGAACGCUGGCGGCGUGCUUAACACAUGCAAGUCGAACGGAAAGGCCCUUCGGGGUACUCGAGUGGCGAACGGGUGAGUAACACGUGGGUGAUCUGCCCUGCACUUUGGGAUAAGCCUGGGAAACUGGGUCUAAUACCGAAUAGGACCACGCGCUUCAUGGUGUGUGGUGGAAAGCUUUUGCGGUGUGGGAUGGGCCUGCGGCCUAUCAGCUUGUUGGUGGGGUAAUGGCCUACCAAGGCGACGACGGGUAGCCGGCCUGAGAGGGUGACCGGCCACACUGGGACUGAGAUACGGCCCAGACUCCUACGGGAGGCAGCAGUGGGGAAUAUUGCACAAUGGGCGCAAGCCUGAUGCAGCGACGCCGCGUGAGGGAUGACGGCCUUC